AUACGGAGGGUGCAAGCGUUAUUCGGAAUCACUGGGCGUAAAGGACGCGUAGGCGGGUUGGCAAGUCAGAUGUGAAAUCCUACAGCUUAACUGUAGAACUACAUUUGAAACUGCUAACCUAGAGUAUGGGAGGGGGAGAUGGAAUUAGUGGUGUAGGGGUAAAAUCCGUAGAUAUCACUAGGAAUACCGAAAGCGAAGGCGAUCUCCUGGAACAUAACUGACGCUAAGGCGUGAAAGCGUGGGGAGCAAACAGGAUUAGAAACCCUAGUAGUCC
rnacentral:rRNA from 1 species